GCAUAUCAAUAAGCGGAGGAAAAGAAACCAACAGGGAUUGCCCCAGUAACGGCGAGUGAAGCGGCAACAGCUCAAAUUUGAAAUCUGGCCCCUCGGGGUCCGAGUUGUAAUUUGUAGAGGAUGCUUUUGAUGAGGCGCCGCCUGAGUUCCCUGGAACGGGACGCCAUAGAGGGUGAGAGCCCCGUCUGGCUGGCCGCCGAGUCUCUGUAAAGCUCCUUCGACGAGUCGAGUAGUUUGGGAAUGCUGCUCAAAAUGGGAGGUAUAUGUCUUCUAAAGCUAAAUACCGGCCAGAGACCGAUAGCGCACAAGUAGAGUGAUCGAAAGAUGAAAAGCACUUUGAAAAGAGGGUUAAAUAGUACGUGAAAUUGUUGAAAGGGAAGCACUUGUGACCAGACUUGGGCUUGGCGAAUCAUCCGGCGUUCUCGCCGGUGCACUUUGCCUCGUCCAGGCCAGCAUCAGUUCGCCGCGGGGGAUAAAGGCUUCGGGAACGUGGCUCCUCCGGGAGUGUUAUAGCCCGUUGCGUAAUACCCUGCAGUGGACUGAGGUUCGCGCAUCUGCAAGGAUGCUGGCGUAAUGGUCAUCAGUGACCCGUCUUGAAACACGGACCAAGGAGUCGUCUUCGUAUGCGAGUGUUCGGGUGUCAAACCCCUACGCGUAAUGAAAGUGAACGCAGGUGAGAGCUUCGGCGCAUCAUCGACCGAUCCUGAUGUUCUCGGAUGGAUUUGAGUAAGAGCAUACGGGGCCGGACCCGAAAGAAGGUGAACUAUGCCUGUAUAGGGUGAAGCCAGAGGAAACUCUGGUGGAGGCUCGCAGCGGUUCUGACGUGCAAAUCGAUCGUCAAAUAUGGGCAUGGGGGCGAAAGACUAAUCGAACCUUCUAGUAGCUGGUUUCCGCGA
rnacentral:rRNA from 1 species